CGACAAGCACCCAGUGACAAGCCAACAAGCAUGCAGCGUCAAGCACAUACAGCACAAACACGCAGCUGGCGGGAGAACGGAGGCAUGGCCAGGCCGGACUUGGCUGAGUCCCUGUGCAAGAUAACAAAGCAUGAAACUUGAAAAAUCAAACCUGGAGGAGGGAGAGCGACCAUGGCACAACACCACAUAGGCAUGAAAGAAAUCCAGCACCGAACGCUUGCCGAUGGAGUAGUACUGCUAUACAGGUCUUCUCUGAAAUUAGUAGUACUGAUUACUGACCCUGAUUGAUGUAACAUGUAUUGACCUUGAUUGCCGAAAUUAGUAGAUAAUGGAGUAGAGUAA